rnacentral:rRNA from 1 species
UAUAAUGCAGUCGAGCGAAUGGAUUAAGAGCUUGCUCUUAUGAAGUUAGCGGCGGACGGGUGAGUAACACGUGGGUAACCUACCCAUAAGACUGGGAUAACUCCGGGAAACCGGGGCUAAUACCGGAUAAUAUUUUGAACUGCAUAGUUCGAAAUUGAAAGGCGGCUUCGGCUGUCACUUAUGGAUGGACCCGCGUCGCAUUAGCUAGUUGGUGAGGUAACGGCUCACCAAGGCGACGAUGCGUAGCCGACCUGAGAGGGUGAUCGGCCACACUGGGACUGAGACACGGCCCAGACUCCUACGGGAGGCAGCAGUAGGGAAUCUUCCGCAAUGGACGAAAGUCUGACGGAGCAACGCCGCGUGAGUGAUGAAGGCUUUCGGGUCGUAAAACUCUGUUGUUAGGGAAGAACAAGUGCUAGUUGAAUAAGCUGGCACCUUGACGGUACCUAACCUGAAAGCCACGGCUAACUAC